AUCGGCCACAUUGGAACUGAGACACGGUCCAAACUCCUACGGGAGGCAGCAGUGGGGAAUAUUGCACAAUGGGCGAAAGCCUGAUGCAGCAACGCCGCGGGAGUGAUGAAGGCCUUCGGGUCGUAAAGCUCUGUCCUCAAGGAAGAUAAUGACGGUACUUGAGGAGGAAGCCCCGGCUAACUACGUGCCAGCAGCCGCGGUAAUACGUAGGGGGCUAGCGUUAUCCG
rnacentral:rRNA from 1 species